rnacentral:rRNA from 1 species
AGAGUUUGAUCCUGGCUCAGAUUGAACGCUGGCGGCAUGCCUUACACAUGCAAGUCGAACGGUAGAGGGGCAACCCUUGAGAGUGGCGAACGGGUGAGUAAUGCAUCGGAACGUGCCCAGUCGUGGGGGAUAACGCAGCGAAAGCUGUGCUAAUACCGCAUGUGAUCUGUGGAUGAAAGCGGGGGACCGAAAGGCCUCGCGCGAUUGGAGCGGCCGAUGUCAGAUUAGGUAGUUGGUAGGGUAAAAGCCUACCAAGCCGACGAUCUGUAGCUGGUCUGAGAGGACGACCAGCCACACUGGGACUGAGACACGGCCCAGACUCCUACGGGAGGCAGCAGUGGGGAAUUUUGGACAAUGGGCGCAAGCCUGAUCCAGCAAUGCCGCGUGCAGGACGAAGGCCUUCGGGUUGUAAACUGCUUUUGUACGGAACGAAACGGUCUGGGUUAAUACCCUGGGCUACUGACGGUACCGUAAGAAUAAGCACCGGCUAACUACGUGCCAGCCGCCGCGGUAAUUC